rnacentral:lncRNA from 1 species
AGAUUCUAUUAAAGAGUGAAAAAGAUAACCAGGUAGGCCAAUGACAUCUUCUCACCUGCCGCCCACCCUCCUCCUCUGUUUUGUCCACAGGCUUUCUCAAUGGACGGCCACGGACUGUUAAAUACUUCCCCACAAAAGGGACGAGCCCGGAGCCAGGUUACCGGCCCACACCUCAAGACAGGCUUUCUUUUAGGAAAUGGACAAAGCUCUAUGACCAGAACAAGCACUUUGGGGAAUUUAAAUUUGCUUUCCCUGACACGACUCCACUUUCAUCACUACCCCUGAACUUAAGGGGCAUCCAAACCUCAGUCUCAGCAGGUUUGUUUUGUGUCUGUGUGUGUGUGUCUGUGUGUGUCUGUAUGUGUGUUCGUGUGUGUCUGUAUGUGUAUCUGUGUGUGUGUGUCUGUGUAUGUCUCUGUGUGUCUGUGUGUGUGUCUGUGUGUGUGUCUGUGUAUGUCUGUGUGUGUCUGUGUCUGUGUGUGUCUCUGUGUGUGUGUGUGUGUGUGUGUUUUGAAACACGGUCUUGCUCUGUCACCCAAGCUGGAGGGCAAUGGUGCAAUCACAGCUCACUGCAGCCUUGACUUCGUAGGCUCAAGCGAUCCUCCCGUCUCAGCCUCCUGAAUAGCUGGCACCACAGAUGUGAGCCACCACUUCUAGCUAAUUUUUGUAUUUUUUGUAGAAACAGAGUCUUUCUAUGUUGCCCAGGAUGGUCUUGAACUCCUAGGGUCAGGUGAUCCUCCUGCCUCAGCCUCCCAUGGUGUUGGGAUUACAGGCGUGAGCCACCAUGCACAGCCAGCAUAUUUAUUAACAUCAGAUUUUUUUUUUUUUUUGAGGCGGAGUUUCACUCUUGUUGCCCAGGCUGGAGUGCAGGGGUGUGAUCUCGGCUCAGUGCAACCUCUACCUCCUGGGUUCAAGCGAUUCUCUUACUUCAGCCUCCUGAGUAGCUGGAACUGCAGACACGUACCACCAUGCCCAGCUAAUUUUGUAUUUUUAGUAAAGACGGGGUUUCACCAUGUUGGUCAGGCUGGUCUCGAAUUCCUGACCUCAGGUGAUCUGCCUGCCUUAGCCUCCCAAAGUGCUGCGAUUGCAGGCGUCAGCCACCACGCCCAACCAGAUUAUUGAUUUAUUUAUGUAUUUAUGUGUUUAUCUAUCUAUUUAUUUAUUUAUUUUUCUUUUGAGACGGAGUUUUGCUCUUGUUGCCCAGGCUGGAGUGCAAUGGGGUGAUCUUGGUUCACUGCAACCUCUGCCUCCCAAGUUCAAGCAAUUCUCCUGCCUCAGCCUCCCAAGUAGCUGGGAUCACAGGUAUGUACCACCACGGCCAGCUAAUUUCUUGUAUCUCUAAUAGAGUCGAGGUUUGAGCAUGUUGGCCAGGCUGGUCUCGAACUUCUGACCUUGUGAUCCACCUGCCUUGGCCUCCCAAAGUGCUGGGAUUACAGGCGUGAGCCACCGCGCCUGGCCAGCAUUUUUAUUAACAUUAGAAUUUUUUACUGAAUUAUCUCGCUUGAUACAUCUUUGACUAUCGUUAAAAUGUGUGCGGUCAGCCUGAGGGGACCUGCCUCCAGGCAUGAUGCUGUGAGUCGAGGUUUUCCCUGUGAAGCUUUCUGGCCAAUCAAGGCUGAAAUUCCAUGUGGCAGAAAAUCCAGGCCACAGAGGAACCAGUUAAACGAAGCCAUAGGGAACCAGACAAAUCUAGAAUGUGGACAUUCUGCUGGACAAUUGGCCAGGUCUCCAUAACAGAUCAGUGUGCUGGGAGUGGGUGGAGGAGUGUGUGUGUGUGUCAGGGAGUUGAGUCUAGAUUAAAACAGCCAAAGACAUGUGACAACUGCACUCACCAUGUCAGCCCUGACUGG